rnacentral:rRNA from 1 species
AGAGUUUGAUCCUGGCUCAGAUUGAACGCUGGCGGCAGGCCUAACACAUGCAAGUCGAACGGUAACAGGAAGCAGCUUGCUGCUUUGCUGACGAGUGGCGGACGGGUGAGUAAUGUCUGGGAAACUGCCUGAUGGAGGGGGAUAACUACUGGAAACGGUAGCUAAUACCGCAUAACGUCGCAAGACCAAAGAGGGGGACCUUCGGGCCUCUCGCCAUCGGAUGUGCCCAGAUGGGAUUAGCUAGUAGGUGGGGUAACGGCUCACCUAGGCGACGAUCCCUAGCUGGUCUGAGGGGAUGACCAGCCACACUGGAACUGAGACACGGUCCAGACUCCUACGGGAGGCAGCAGUGGGGAAUAUUGCACAAUGGGCGCAAGCCUGAU